UACGUAGGGACCAAGCGUUGUUCGGAUUUACUGGGCGUAAAGGGCGCGUAGGCGGCGUGACAAGUCACUUGUGAAAUCUCCGGGCUUAACUCGGAACGGUCAAGUGAUACUGUUGUGCUAGAGUACAGAAGGGGCAAUCGGAAUUCUUGGUGUAGCGGUGAAAUUCGUAGAUAUGGGGAGGAACACCGGUGGCGAAGGCGGCCACCUGGACGGUAACUGACGCUGAGACGCGAAAGCGUGGGGAGCAAACAGG
rnacentral:rRNA from 1 species